ACUGACAUUUUUGUGCCAAGCAGACUGUAGGCUGCUGGUAAUCUAAACUGCCUUUCUUCUUCUAAAGACUCUAAAUAGCUAAAGUACUCUUGUUCUUUACCCUAUUUGCAAAUGUGUGGAAAAUAUAUCUACAUCAUAACAAGAUGAACUAAGCACGGGAGCAGAGGACUUAAUUUUUCCUCAUCUAUCAUACAAAUACCUUAAGAAAACAGCAAGGAAGCUUCAAAUGCCCAGAUUCAGCUCUGCAUCAUGCACUUUAAUCAAGUCGUUUAUGUGACUCUAUAGAGAUGAGAACAUGCUGUCCUCCUCACGGCUUGCUUGUUUACGCAAAGAGAGUUAUGAGAAUAAUUUUGGUAGAAAACAGUUUAUGACUGGUUGGAUGAAGCACUGCCAGAGCUGGUGUUUGCAGUCACUUUCCCUCAGCUGAGCUAGCUGGGAAGGAGCAACUCAUUCCAUUGUGAAGAUAUGCAGCCUCCAAAGCAAAGCACAGGCAAGGCCUGACUGCUCAGAGAUGGACUGUGAAGGAAUUGAAUCUUCUGAGCAUUGCACUGAGUGCCUUCCAGAGGUGGGUGGGAAGCAAAGCCACCAAAGAGGCACUGCAGGAAAGAGGAGAGGAGGCAGGAUAAGCAGGCAGCACAUCCCCACAAGAAGCUAAGGGUGAGCAUAAGGAAUGAGCUGUGGCUGAAGAAAAUUUCACAGGCAACAGAGUAAAAUUAUUCUGGUUGUUUGACUUGAUCAGGGGUCAGAAAAGUUGGACUUUGCCCCUUUUAUUUAUUUAUUUGUUGCAAAAAAGUAGUAUGUCUCUCUGUAUGUAUCUCACUGCAUUUUCUCCUCAUAAAUAGAAUAACCUGGAAUAUCUUGAUUUUUUAGCUAACCAGAAAUUUCAAAAGAAAUAGCUAAAAAUGCAAAACCACAGAUAUUGGUCCAGAACAGUGGAGCAGCACAUCUAGCCUUCCACACAGAAGAGGCUUAUAUGUUUUUGGAAAUCAUGCAAUAGCAAAGGCUAUCAUUGUAAAAUAAUCUAUCUGAACAGGGCACUUAAUUUACCACUCAUAGGCUUAAACAGUGGAAGUUCCAUGAAGAAGUCAUGUAUGCAUCACAUUUACCUCUUUAUGUGCAUUGGCACAAAGAUAAAAACACUGAUUAUACAAGUUGGAUUAUACAAUCUGUAUUUUAGCAUUUAGUAACCAAGGUCUUUGCUGAAACAGGUACUAAAAGUGUGGCAGACACCAAAGAAAUGUUUUUCAUUCCAGCAGAGAAUUUGAUCCUACAGUCUUCACACAGACUUAUCAGAAGCGUGUGCAUAACAGGAACGUUAUGGCAAUGUUUCUAGAUUCCUUGCUAGCCACAGCUGGGCAAGACUUUGGACUCCUUUUCACAUCUUGGAUCUUCUGGCAGUUUUAAUAAAGAAGAUGAAACACAGCUUUUUGCACAGCACCUUCCUCAGGAGAUAGAAAUUGCAGUUAUAUAACACUCACACAGUCACACCACUAUCAUCAAAAGGUGACUUUCAGUGAAAAGAAAUGGCUGUGAAGACAGCUUCUUUGUUUGAGAACUCGUGGAAAUGCUGAACAAUGAAACACAAUUUGAUUAUCAAAAAAUCAAACCAGUAUGAACAUUUCGCCAACUGUGUUAUUCAGUUCAAACUUCUUAGCUCUCCUAUAUCAUUUCUUGGUUCUUACAUGUUGUGAAAGAGACAUAACUACUUUUACUUUAAAAUUUGAAAACCCUUCACAUCAGAGGUUAUAUGAAUCAUCUAGUCUUUUCUAUUCCAAAAUGUUUCACUGAUCAUUCAUUGUUAACUGAGUAAAACGAAGAUAGCUAUGAUAGAUGAAAAUUUAUCUCAAAGUAUUAGAAAGGAUAUGAAAAUAUCUUGUUCAUAAGUACUAACAUUUAGAUAACAUAAGAGAGUUCAACCCCAGUUUUUUCACUGCCACAUUCCAUAUGGCUCUUAAUAACUCAUUAUUACCUUUUUUGCUGCUCCUAGGCACUGGUGGUUUCAACCUGGUCUGCCAUUGAGCAGAAAUGCAUUCCAACAGGAGAACAGUGAAAGGAUUGGAUGUUGACAGACAGGAAGCCUGCUGAUAUUAGAGAUUAGGACCCAACUCAUGUCCAGAUUUUUUUUUAGCAAUAUAUGUGCUCUAAAAGUUCUACUAAAAUUUAUUUUCUCCUCUUGACGAGAACACUCAGAUUAGAGAAGAAGAAACCUGUAGCCCUUUCUAGAUCUGAGAGUAAGGUCUCCUGAGUAACAGAGUAACUUGUGCUUUGUGCACAAGGAUUUGUGUACAGAACUUGGAGGUACCAUAACAAAAUAGUCAUUUUCAAGCAGCUUGCCACAGAAAUGAGACAGAGCCUGGAGAGGAACCUUGCUGACAUAGAAAAGGUUCUCCAGGGUGGCAGGUCAGCCUGUGGAUGAGGGAAGUAGACAGAGACAGAAGUUGUGUAAAGCUGGUCGUGGACUUAAUAAGGGCUUGAUUCCGUACCAACGAAAUCAACAGGAGUUUGGCUCAUGUUUGCAAUGGGAGGUGGAUCAACGCUUUAUGCCAGCUGUUCCCUGUUGGGUAGGGAUAAUCCCUUUGAAACAAAAUAUUUAACUUGUUCUCACUCUGUUGAUGUAAGAAGGCUUCUCGUGAUAAUGCUUUCAUGAGAAUUAAAAGGUGUGUCCCAUUUUUAAUGUCAAAUACCUCAUUCCUCUAGUAUACAUUUGCCAAUUCACCAAAAACAAACAAACAAACAAAUGAAAAAAACAACAAAAACCCACCAACCCAAGAAAUGAGAAGUCUGCUAUUAGCCACAUGGGUUUAUAAAAAGUGCUACAGCAAUCUGAGGUGCAGGGUGUAUCCUCUAUUUGUUCUGCUUGCCAUGAUAA